AUAUGCCUACAACAUAGCAUCAAUGCACUAGAUCCCAUUAGAACUACGCAGUUAAGCGCACUCAAGCUAGAGUAGUACCGGGAUGGGUGACUGCCCAGGAAGCCCUAGUGUUUUACAUGCC
rfam:Picea glauca, whole genome shotgun sequence.